rnacentral:rRNA from 1 species
CCGAACCGACUAAUGUUGAAAAAUUAGCGGAUGACCUGUGGCUGGGGGUGAAAGGCCAAUCAAACCGGGAGAUAGCUGGUUCUCCCCGAAAGCUAUUUAGGUAGCGCCUCGUGAAUUCAUCUCCGGGGGUAGAGCACUGUUUCGGCUAGGGGGCCAUCCCGGCUUACCAACCCGAUGCAAACUGCGAAUACCGGAGAAUGUUAUCACGGGAGACACACGGCGGGUGCUAACGUCCGUCGUGAAGAGGGAAACAACCCAGACCGCCAGCUAAGGUCCCAAAGUCAUGGUUAAGUGGGAAACGAUGUGGGAAGGCCCAGACAGCCAGGAUGUUGGCUUAGAAGCAGCCAUCAUUUAAAGAAAGCGUAAUAGCUCACUGGUCGAGUCGGCCUGCGCGGAAGAUGUAACGGGGCUAAACCAUGCACCGAAGCUGCGGCAGCGACACUGUGUGUUGUUGGGUAGGGGAGCGUUCUGUAAGCCUGUGAAGGUGUGUCGUGAGGCAUGCUGGAGGUAU